AUGAGGACAGAGUUUCCAUCGUUAAUUUUACAGCCUUUACUCUAUGACUUUAGUUUGAAUACUUUUAUAGUUGUUUUAUUUGACAAUGCUUUUAUUGUUAUUAGGGUGGUGGGGUAAUAAGAUCCGUGGUCCACAAAGAUGACUCGCCCUACACUCAAAACCAGUUUGGUGCUAGUACUUGUGAAAGAUAUAUUCAAAAAAAAAAAUGCUAAAACUUAUUUUUGAGUAGAGAACAUAGCCAUUUUAUAAAGUCAUACCAAAUACUAUUAUAGUGAUAACAUACACGCUGAUGUUCAAUCAUUAAGACAGACAACUUAUUUUCAUAAAAUAGCAUCAAGACUCUUUAUUUGUGAAAAGUCAGCACUCUUCACUCCAGUUCCUUCAGAAAAUCUUGAUUGUCAACCAACACCUUUUUCCAUCCAUCUGGAUCUAAGAAAGAAGUGAUCUUUGUGUUGAGGCCAGGGAUUGGCCCUGGUUGCCUGGUAAUCUUCCCUCCAAAUUCUUGAGU
rnacentral:lncRNA from 1 species